CUGCGGAGGGAUCAUUACAAGUGACCCCGGUCUAACCACCGGGAUGUUCAUAACCCUUUGUUGUCCGACUCUGUUGCCUCCGGGGCGACCCUGCCUUCGGGCGGGGGCUCCGGGUGGACACUUCAAACUCUUGCGUAACUUUGCAGUCUGAGUAAACUUAAUUAAUAAAUUAAAACUUUUAACAACGGAUCUCUUGGUUCUGGCAUCGAUGAAGAACGCAGCGAAAUGCGAUAAGUAAUGUGAAUUGCAGAAUUCAGUGAAUCAUCGAAUCUUUGAACGCACAUUGCGCCCCCUGGUAUUCCGGGGGGCAUGCCUGUUCGAGCGUCAUUUCACCACUCAAGCCUCGCUUGGUAUUGGGCAACGCGGUCCGCCGCGUGCCUCAAAUCGACCGGCUGGGUCUUCUGUCCCCUAAGCGUUGUGGAAACUAUUCGCUAAAGGGUGUUCGGGAGGCUACGCCGUAAAACAACCCCAUUUCUAAGGUUGACCUCGGAUCA
rnacentral:rRNA from 2 species